AAUGAACGUUGGCGGCGUGGAUUAGGCAUGCAAGUCGAGCGGAAAGGCCCGCAAGGGCACUCGAGCGGCGUAAGGGACAGUAAUGUGUAGGUACGUACCCCUGGGUCUAGGAUAGCUGCGGGAAACUGCAAUUAAUACUAGAUGAUGUCUUCGGACCAAAGGUGUGAUUCCACCCAGGGAGCGGCCUACAUCCUAUUAGCUAGUUGGUGAGGUGACGGCUCACCAAGGCGAAGAUGGGUAGCAGGUGUGAGAGCACGACCUGCGUCACUGGGACUGAGACACUGCCCAGACACCUACGGGUGGCUGCAGUCGAGAAUCUUCGGCAAUGGGCGAAAGCCUGACCGAGCGACGCCGCGUGCGGGAUGAAGGCCUGCGGGUUGUAAACCGCUGUCGGAGGGGAUGAAAUGCCGAUGGGUACUCCCAACGGCUUGACUGAGCCUCGGAGGAAGGGUGGGCUAAGUUCGUG
rnacentral:rRNA from 1 species